GAUCCAUACUAUAUUCAAAUGACCUGACUUCAUGCUCAAGGGGGAUUAAAGUUCUACUUUAAACCUUUAAGAGGAAAUCUCUGAAGAAAUCGUGGAUGGAAAUCCUGGCCAGUUACAUUCACUGAACCUUGAAACAAUUGUUACAAGAAACUCAACACGCCUGACUCAGGGUUACUGUUCAUUCUUCUGGAAGCUGCAGAGAAAGGGAACCUGGAAACCUG